AGCGAACGCUGGCGGCAGGCUUAACACAUGCAAGUCGAGCGGGCAUCUUCGGAUGUCAGCGGCAGACGGGUGAGUAACACGGGGGAACGUACCCUUCGGUUCGGAACAACUCUGGGAAACUGGAGCUAAUACCGGAUACGCCCUUAUGGGGAAAGGUUUACUGCCGAAGGAUCGGCCCGCGUCUGAUUAGCUAGUUGGUGGGGUAACGGCCUACCAAGGCGACGAUCAGUAGCUGGUCUGAGAGGAUGAUCAGCCACACUGGGACUGAGACACGGCCCAGACUCCUACGGGAAGCAGCAGUGGGGAAUAUUGGACAACGGGCGCAAGCCUGAUCCAGCCAUGCCGCGUGAGUGAUGAAGGCCUUAGGGUUGUAAAGCUCUUUUGUCCGGGACGAUAAUGACGGUACCGGAAGAAUAAGCCCCGGCUAACUUCGUG
rnacentral:rRNA from 1 species